AGAAGCCUGCACAUGUCCCAUUCAUUCGAUAUCAUCGAAACUUGAGUCCUCUAUCGUUCAGCAAAACCGAAUUAUAGUAUAUCUUGAGUGAAAGCGGGUUUACGUUGAUCCGCUAUAAUGACGACGGUCUGCUGAUCGUUACUCUGAGAUGCGACAGUGUGUAUGGUUUGUAUUGUGACAGUCCUAAUCCGUCCAGAUACUCAAUCCUUUGGGAUAGCAAAGUAUCGAUCGAAUGCUGCUGCUGCUGCUGCUGCCGAUGAUGACUAUGGCGCUUUGGCGAGUUGCCCAAAUCACCUCCCACUACACGCUUCGUUUAAGGACAAAAUAAGCGAACUUUUCGUAUACGAUCAUUAUUACUACGACGAUUACUUUGACAAUUAUGUUGAACUGAUUCGUGGUAGUCUGUCAGUAAUAUAUGUUAGGUCGUGCAACAUUCUAAUUCCAUGUUUUAAAACAUGGAAUUAGAAGAUAACUGCCCAGCGCAAAAAAGUUGUCAAAUCUUGCACACACAAAUAUCUGCAUUAAUGCUUCUAAACAUGAUCCGCUAAGGCCGAAAAUUGAAAGCUCGUAACUAUAUUGUAUACCAUUUUUUACUACAGUUUGCUGUUAAUUUUUUUACUUUCGGUUUAGUUGCUAAUCGAAGAAAGCCAAUAGAGAGGAAAUAAUAAAUCUUGAGUAAAAGAAAGUAUUCUUUCUAAUUAUCGCAUUGUGCUAGAAAGGAACAUUUUGCAAUUCUCGAAAACCUACGAUGGCUUAUAAAUUAAUUCACUUGCCAAUAAGUGUAAAUGCAACGAAGUGUUGAAAAUGUCAGUUGUAAUAAAACUAGCGUAAUUCGAGUAUGAAAGUUGAAUAGCUAUGAUACCAAGCGUGCGCAUCUCAGUUUUUGUCAAUAGUGUCCAGAAAGACUUUAGGACCGAAGGUUGUGAAGCAUCCAAGGCCGAGUAUCAUCUCAAAAAGCAUAUACAAAAUUGGAGUAUAGAAAGGUUCCACUGGCUAGUUGUUUUAAUAUGAUUGUAUCACUGUAAAAAUGAAUUUAGUGUGAUAUACAACAACAUAUAAUUAAGAAAAAUAAGUAGAGGGGCAAAAUCCUCCAAACUAUGAAGCAUUUCGCAUCGCAUCAUCGUUCGAAAUCAGGCUCAACACAUCAACACAACAACGGAAAAAGAUUAAUAUAAUGAUGGCCCAGUUUUCCGCGCCAGAAGCAAUAGCGGGAUCAGACAAAAACAAAAUUAUACAACAGCCACUCUUAGCGCCUUCUACUUUUCACCUAUUACUGGCAUUCACUAUAAUAAACUAGCAUAUCAGUUGCACCAAAUAUAUAUAUAUAUAUACUAAAAUUCGUUCUGGAGUGAACCGAAACGCUGCCGGUUCAAUGGGGGAGGGUCUGCCAAUAGUGCCAAUGUAUUCUGUAUAAAGUAUUGCUAUGUUGCUGUAACGUUAUUUGUCAAUGAGACACGGCGUUAACUCUGCCUUGUUUGCGCAUUCGCCCGGUCGUUUGAAUGCGUCUCUUCACACGACUCUAUACCAUUAUCGACUUGUGCCGCUACCACAACAACGACAGUUAAAACAGCGCACGAUUGAACGAGCUACCCAGCUGACUAUAGUCGUAUUCGUAUUCUUAGCUAGUGAACGACUGGCUAGCCAGUUCCAGAGGGCGGCUAGGUCGGACGCAGUCCCCAGUUGCAACUACAAUUUCUUCUUCUUUGUCGCCUCUGCCGCAGCCUCUCCGUACACAAGAACAAUCCUGACUCCCAGAUCAUUAGGUGACGUUCUAAGGGGCGAUUGGCGCUAAAGCUGUCACUAUACGUAUGUCUACACAUGCGUAUGUGCAUAAAUGCGUCACUAAUGCUUUACGGGUGCUACCCGAAUGCGAGCGAACUAACAAAUAACAGUCGCUGUCGAUAAUUUCGGAUGAUCGUAGUAAUGGCGGCUGCUGUGGUCGCUGUCGACCUCGCCGCUGGUCCAGUGCAGAACGGGGGAACUGUUGUGGGAAUAGCCAUCCGUGAUGGGAUGUUAUACUUGGGUGCUUUCUUGCCGAGCAGUGACGCUUUUCCGGGACGGACGGGCGGCAGGCCAAGUAUUGAGCGACCCGCGCGUGCGUCAUUGGCUCUAGUUCGGAGUUAGACGGCCCCGGGGGAGAGGGGCAAAUAAAUGACACUGCUGCCGCCGCCAUCGUCACAGUCGUUGCGUCGUCGCCUGAAUAUUUUAUACUGGAUAUACCAGUAUGGCAAAAGCGCCUCGUGGAACACGUUGUGGUCUAAGGCCAGUCUCGAACCUGGGAACCUGGAAGCCAGCCGUCGGAUGGGAUGCUUUAACGGAAGAAAACGGCGAGAACGUAAAACUCGAUAGAGAGGGGGCGUAAUCUGACCGUCACUGCGCCUUCAGAAAGUCUCUUACGUGGCUGCGUUAGAGAGUACCAUGAUGGAUCGUCAUACUCUGAACGCAGAUAAUUAUACAAGAUGUAGAUCUAAACUCUUUAACCGAUAUCUCAAGGUUCCAGACGUAGAGGAUUGGCCAGCAAACAAGACGUCUCUAAUAUUAUCUUUAAAAUGAACACGAUAUGUCGAAACUUUUCGAACGUAGUCCCAGGCACGUUAGAUAAUCAUUGCCCACGCAGCAGACUGGCACUUGAACAGAUAUGCUAGAACGGCGUAAAAACAGGUGACUUCAUAGUAUUGAGAACCAAAGAAUCAAGCAGGCGCCAGUUCUAAAAUGUUUACAGGCCCUGAUUCACUUUUCCGUCCAAAGCCUUAUAAGCAAGGAUCUUCCCGAGGUGUCGAUAGAACGUCGUUGACACAAAUCAGGGCACUGCAGCCGUCCAGGUUCGGGGCUAGAAUAUCAGCCCUCAAGAGAUUAAAAUACGACGAAGGUGUUAGGGUUUUCUGGGAGAAAUCUUGCAGGGAGUCACACGAAUACUAUCAGCUUGCACGCAUACACAGAAUCUACUUUGAAGAAAUCGGGAAACGAACAUGUCUAAGAAAGUAACUAAAACCAACUUUCUAAGCUUUCCACGCCCGAUUUUUUUAAGCCUGAUACUGCCGUUAAUCAAUACUUCACCUAACUGGUUUCUAGCUCGAAACGAAGUGUGUGUAUGCCUGAUUUCCAAUCCAGACCAUCACGUGUUCUUAAAUUUAGUAGGCAAGAACGCUAACAUUGCACCAUUACGGGGACUGAUCCCUUCAAACCGAUGAAUGUUUAUGCUCAGUCUUCAAAGGGUCUUUAGAUGGGCGAAGUUCAACUUAAAAGAACAGAGUUUCCCACAUUGCGACAUUUGACAAAAAAAUAAAUAAAAUCUGACCUAAGCUAUAUGAUUAGCAAAUGCUUUUUGAAAUGUACAACGGAAUUUUAGUCAUAAAAAGUCAUCCUUUCCCGUCUUUUAAAUCCGUCAACAAUAAGCAUUCCUUUGCACGCCGCUCUCUCUCUCUCUCUCGCUGUCUCUCUCGGCUUUUCGCUCUCUCCCCCUCCAUAAAUAUAUACAUAUAUAAAAAGGGAAAAGGGAAACAGUAAUUUUUCCCAUUACACCUAUAGACGUAUGGCAGAAAUAUGGAAAUGUCGAGAUCUGUUAACAUCAUAUGAGUUUUAAAUUUAAU
rnacentral:lncRNA from 1 species